CUGGAUUUGAAAAACCACAUUCCAUUCUCCUCAAGUGCCAUUCUGCCUAUCCAUAUAAGGUAAUGCUGUAAAUACUGUUUGCGGAUUGGUGUAAGGGUACAGAUGGGGGAUGUAUAGUCUAUAAAAAAACCUGUACUCCAUGUGCUCAGGGCUCAGACAUUUUGAACAUGAGUUCAGCUGAGACCUGAUUGGUGAGAAUAAAG